rnacentral:rRNA from 1 species
GACGAACGCUGGCGGCGUGCUUAACACAUGCAAGUCGAACGGAAAGGCCCUGCUUUUGUGGGGUGCUCGAGUGGCGAACGGGUGAGUAACACGUGAGUAACCUGCCCUUGACCUUGGGAUAACUUCAGGAAACUGGGGCUAAUACCGGAUAGGAGCUCCUGCUGCAUGGUGGGGGUUGGAAAGUUUCGGCGGUUGGGGGUGGACUCGCGGCUUAUCAGCUUGUUGGUGGGGUAGUGGCUUACCAAGGCUUUGACGGGUAGCCGGCCUGAGAGGGUGACCGGCCACAUUGGGACUGAGAUACGGCCCAGACUCCUACGGGAGGCAGCAGUGGGGAAUAUUGCACAAUGGGCGGAAGCCUGAUGCAGCAACGCCGCGUGCGGGAUGACGGCCUUCGGGUUGUAAACCGCUUUCGCCUGUGACGAAGCGUGAGUGACGGUAAUGGGUAAAGAAGCACCGGCUAACUACGUG